rnacentral:rRNA from 1 species
AUCAUGUUGUUUAAUUCGAUGAUACGCGAAGAACCUUACCAGGUCUUGACAUCCCAUGCAGAGCUAUAGAGAUAUAGUGGAGGUUACCAUGGAGACAGGUGGUGCAUGGUUGUCGUCAGCUCGUGUCGUGAGAUGUUGGGUUAAGUCCCGCAACGAGCGCAACCCCUACGUUUAGUUGCUAACGCGUGAAGGCGAGCACUCUAGACGAACUGCCGUUGACAAAACGGAGGAAGGUGGGAUGACGUCAAAUCAUCAUGCCCCUUAUGUUCUGGGCUACACACGUGCUACAAUGGCCGGUACAGACGGACGCAAAGCCGCGAGGCGGAGCAAAUCCGAAAAAGCCGGUCUCAGUUCGGAUUGCAGGCUGCAAUUCGCCUGCAUGAAGUCGGAAUCGCUAGUAAUCGCAGGUCAGCAUACUGCGGUGAAUACGUUCCCGGGCCUU